rnacentral:rRNA from 1 species
UACGGAGGGUGCGAGCGUUAAUCGGAAUUAUUGGGCGUAAAGGGUGCGUAGGUGGUUAAUUAAGUUAUCUGUGAAAUUCCUGGGCUCAACCUGGGGUGGUCAGAUAAUACUGGUUGACUUGAGUAUGGUAGAGGGUAGUGGAAUUUCCGGUGUAGCGGUGAAAUGCGUAGAGAUCGGAAAGAACACCAGUGGCGAAGGCGGCUACCUGGACUAAUACUGACACUGAGGCACGAAAGCGUGGGGAGCAAACAGG